UACGUAGGGUGCGAGCGUUAAUCGGAAUUACUAGGCGUAAAGCGUGCGCAGGCGGUUUUGUAAGCCAGAUGUGAAAUCCCCGGGCUUAACCUGGGAAUGGCAUUUGGGACUGCAAAGCUUGAGUGUGGCAGAGGGGACUGGAAUUCCUGGUGUAGCAGUGAAAUGCGUAGAGAUCAGGAGGAAUACCGAUGGCGAAGGCAGGUCCCUGGGCUGACACUGACGCUCAUGCACGAAAGCGUGGGGAGCAAACAGG
rnacentral:rRNA from 1 species